GCUUCAUUGGAAAUUAACAACCGGCCGAAAGUGCAUCCGCCUCGUCUUAAAUACUUGUAAUAAUACUUUGUAAUGAGUGGUAUCUACAGUGUACUAAUGGGUACGAAGAUAAUUAUUAUCACCAUUGCGUUGCUGAUUAUGCUUAUGGGGGGUGUUGAAUGUUUAUUGGGACAACAUUGCAUCUUUAAGGAGUGCAAGGAUUAUUGCAAUGGAAACAAGUGCUUUAAAGGAAAGUGCAUUAUGAAUGUAUGCUAUUGCGUUGGUUGUAGAUAAACAAAUGAAUUACGCUCAAA